rnacentral:rRNA from 1 species
CCUACGGGUGGCAGCAGUGAGGAAUCUUGGUCAAUGGGCUUACGCCUGAACCAGCCAAGUCGCGUGAGGGAAGACUGCCCUAUGGGUUGUAAACCUCUUUUGUCAGGGAGCAACGCCGGCUACGUGUAGCCGGACUGUGAGUAACUGAAGAAAAAGCAUCGGCUAACUCCGUGCCAGCAGCCGCGGUAAUACGGAUGAUGCGAGCGUUAUCCGGAUUUAUUGGGCUUACAGGGUGCGUAGGCGGAAUGCCAAGUCAGCGGUAACAUCGCGGGGCUCAACCUCGCUCCGCCGUUGAAACUGGCGUUCUUGAGUGGGCGAGAAGUAUGCGGAAUGCGUGGUGUAGCAGUGAAAUGCAUAGAUAUCAGGCAGAACUCCGAUUGCGAAGGCAGCAUACCGGCGCCCAACUGACGCUGAAGCACGAAAGCGUAGGUAGCGAACAGGAUUAGAUACCCUUGUAGUC